rnacentral:lncRNA from 1 species
AUUAUCUUAGUCCAGAUUUUAGAGGCAUGUUUAAAAAUCAUUUUGACUGAAGUAAAUAUGCAUGAUUUAAAAUCAUUUAGCAUUAAAUUAAAUAGGCAUAAUUUUGUAAAAAUAAUUUUACGAGAGAAGCCAUGUCACAAGUCAAGUUGUCGGAUCAAGAUCACAAUUAAGAACGACUCAUUUAAACUAUAAAACUUUGUCUUGUGCUUGAAUCUCGUUAUCCACCAAUUAUGCGCUUGUACUUGAACUUCGUCAUAUAUC